GUGGAGAUGGCGGAAUGGCAGACGCGCUAGAUUCAGGUUCUAGUGGGAGCAAUCCUGUGAGGGUUCAAGUCCCUUUCUCCGCA
rnacentral:tRNA from 1 species